GGUGGAGACACUUAGGUGUUAAAAAAGAAACUCCUCAAGGCCGGGGAUUUAACUUGGUGCUGCAUCUGCUGCAUCUGCCUCACAAGCGUAAGGUCCUGAGUUCGAUCCCUGGUACCAAGAAACUCCGCAUGGUUGGCAGAACUACACAGGAUGACACCUGCAAGACAACAGUUGGCCUGAGUAACUGAAAAAGACGUGACGUGAAGAGUGCAUUUUCACGGAGAACGAAGGCAGCCCACGGGCAGGAUGAAGAGGAGGUGGGGCCAGAGGCAGCCCCAAGGGCACAGUUAUGGACACUCUCGCAAGAAGGGCAGGAAGGCAGAUUUCUGUGGCAGCUGCAUAUCAAGGAUUUUGGAAGGCUUCCCUCCAUCUUUUCCAAAUUUAGAUUAUCUGGAUUCCGGGACUACGAAGGUUCUGGG
rnacentral:lncRNA from 1 species